UCUUCGGGGGGUGGGAUAAAAUGCUAGUCGAGCGCCUCCAGCUACGGUGAAGGCGCGGCAAACGGCUCAGUAACACGUGGCCAACCUACCCUUAGGACGGAGACAACCCCGGGAAACUGGGGACAAUCCCCGAUAGGUGAGGACGCCUGGAAUGACCCCUCACCCAAAAGACGUCUAGACCAUGCUUCCAGACGUCGCCUAAGGAUGGAGCCGCGGCCGAUCAGGCUGUUGGCGAGGCAAAGGCUCACCAAACCUAUAACCGGUACGGGCCACGAGAGUGGGAGCCCGGAGAUGGGCACUGAGACAAGGGCCCAGGCCCUACGGGGCGCAGCAGUUGCGAAAACUCUGCAAUGCACGAAAGUGUGACAGGGCUACCCCGAGUGCCGUCCGCUGAGGAUGGCUUUUCUCUGCUGUAAGGAGGCGGAGGAAUAAGGAGAGGGCAAGUCUGGUGUCAGCCGCCGCGGUAAUACCAGCUCUCCGAGUGGUGGGGACGUUUAUUGGGCUUAAAGCGUCCGUAGCUGGCCUUUCAAGUCUCUCGUUAAAUCCAGCGAUUCAAUCGUUGGACUGCGGGAGAUACUGUUUGGCUAGGGGGCGGGAGAAGCCGACGGUAUUUUCGGGGUAGGGGUAAAAUCCUAUAAUCCCGGGAAGACCACCAGUGGCGUAGGCGGUCGGCUAGCACGCGCUCGACGGUGAGGGACGAAAGCUGGGGGAGCGAACCGGAUUAGAUACCCGGGUAGUCCCAGCUGUAAACGAUGCGGGCUAGGUGUUGGAGCGGCUACGAGCCGCUUCAGUGCCGCAGGGAAGCCAUUAAGCUCGCCGCCUGGGGAGUACGGCCGCAAGGCUGAAACUUAAAGGAAUUGGCGGGGGAGCACCACAAGGGGUGAAGCUUGCGGUUUAAUUGGAGUCAACGCCGGA
rnacentral:rRNA from 1 species